CCCUUCUGGAUGAGGCUUUGGCAUGAGAGGCAGAUCCCAUGAAUGCUCCAUCGCGUUACCACAGCAGAGCAGCGCUUGGCAAGCUGAUGCAGGAUACUCCCUCAAGAAAACUUUGAAGGAACAGUGCUGCACGGCUGAACUAGGCAAUUACAAAUAUACCAGACACAGGGCUGAGACCCACCUCACUUCUGUUCUGCUGGAGUUCAUAGAAUCACCAAGGUUGGGAAAGGCCCACAGGAUCACCCAGUCCAACCAUCACCAACAGUUCUCAAGAGUUGCAGCACAGUGAAUCACUCCAACCUUCCCUCAAGGAGGGACAGCACAAUAGGAUCAGCCUCUUCUGCACUGCUCUGAAAUCACAAUUCAGAAAAUGGACAAAGUGGAUAAUAAAUUACUCUUCUUAUGCCAGGUAUUUUCCAUUUUGUGUUUUAACCGUUGUUGGUUCUUGGCACUGUUAAACUGUUAAUGGUAAAUUCAAAAGGAAUUGAGGACCUGGCUUCCUGGAUCGUAGUUUUUGGCUUUCCUGCACAAUAGGAUGAAGCCUGAAAGUCCCUUUUGUUACAUGCAGGUACCCAACUCUACUUCGUUACCAAUUAUCCUUCCUCAGUCUCUCCAUCCCUGUAUUACAUAAGGGUUCAGGUGAGACUCCUAAGAUAUCUGACUGCUUUAGCAUGUUUGGUUUUAUGUCUUUGUUACUUUAUAUCUCUCUUUGGCAGUUACAUCUACCUACAUAAUUGCUCUCAUUAAAAGGCUUAGUCAUGGUCUGAAGUAAGUGUAACCCACUGUUAUCUGUGCACUUAAGCAAAUUUCAGCACAGAAAAUUGGGGUAUCAUCUAAAUAUCAGACUACAGGAAGAUAAAACAAUCUAUACUGAAAAUCCAGAAUAAAAAGAAAUAACAGGCUUUGAAGCAGGCCUACCACCGAUUUCAGCUAUCCCCAAAACUGUACCAGGAAGGUUUUAAAUGGGUUUAAACCUCAGAUUUUUCACCUUUGGAAUUCCAGCCCUGUGACUGGUACGUGUGAGCUGAAAGGAGCACAGUCUGCACAGCGCAGUGCUGCAGGAGUGGCAGUUCUCUGAAACUGGAACCAGUCUUGGAAUUACAGUGGUGCUUCUUUUUCCAGGGAAAGGAAGGGAGUGGAAAUGGAAAAACAUCAGUGAGAAAAACCAAACAGGGCCCAAAAUUCAGAGCUGAGGAAGUCUGCAAUGGAGAAUCUAGUUGAGACAGCUGUGCUGAGGCUGACCUAACCUGGGGCUGACCAAGCAAGUUCCAUGAUGUCAUAUUUUGCUAUGAUGGGCCAUUAAAUUAAGUCGCUGGUCCAGACCUUCCUCCUGACACCUAUUAAAUCUACAGCUUUGGAGCUGGAGUUGUCAAGGUAGCACUGCAUCAGAUACCAGGGGAAUCCACGCACACUGUUACAGAAGAUUGCUGCUUGCAUAAAACCUCUUUGCUCUUUUCUUGAUUGUAUAUUCAGGAUAUAUUUUGCAGGCAUAGUCUACGAUUAGAUUAAACAAGCAAAGGAAUUAUUUAUUGCCUGUCCCACUGCACCUACUGCUUAACACCAGAUGAAACUAAAACAAUGGCUUCUGAGCUUGGGUCAAUAGUCUUCCUCUAUAGUCUACCCUCAAUUUCAAAAGCAUAGAGAAAAAAUGGUUAAUUCUACGGUGCCUGCGUUACAAAAAGGAGGAUUCAUUCAUAUUUACAGCAGCCACAAGAACUUCCAAAUAUAUAUUUUUCCAACCUGAAGGGUUUCAGUGACUUGUUCUACAUUUCCAUAGUAGACAAUAGAUCUCACAUAGCACUGUGAUCCAAUCUGCUUUUCUUUGCAGCAGGUAAUUGUAGGACGUUUUUAGGGAUACCUGUAACCUCACAACAUUGCCCUGCCUACUUCAAAAGAAGCUGUCAUCAAAAAGUAUUACCAGUCAAAAGAGUCAGUGAUACAAUUAUCUUUUUAAACAAACCCAGAAUAGUGGAUCAAACGCACACUACUUUUGAUUAUCCUCAGUCAAGUUUUCUUUAGGGGAUUCUCUGAGCAUCUCCUUCCCCUCAUUCGAAUUAUCAAACUCUCAUUUCUAGACCUCAGAGAACACCUACACGCUCCCUUCUGCUUCCUUCUUCCCACAACCUGAAGUUAAAUGUGGAGCACUUCCUCUGCCACCACUCUUGAAGCCUCAGUGGCCCACCCAACAAUGCCACUCUGUGGCUGGACAGGUAGAGAGAUGUUCUUGCAAUACUCAUUCCUCUUGACAAAUAUCAAUUAUUGUGACCAGGUCUUUUAACAAAAUAAAUACUGACUAGCAGCUAAGAGACUGGCUACUGGCUGCUUCUCACCUCCACCAGGAGCCCUGAAGUGCAGGACAGAAUCCAGGAAAGAUUUUCUGGAAAAUGAAGAGACCCAAUAAAGCCUCUAAGCCCAGGCAAGUCAAUAAACUGUCACAGUUGCCCGGAAGGAAUUGGCUCGUCUUAGAUAAACUCACAAAGGCCCUGAAAAAACACAACUUUUUUUUUUUAAAUGGCAGAGAUUAAUUUUCUGACUUCAAAGUAGUAUUAAUGCAGAACUUGGCUAAGGUUUCCUGUGCAAGCAGUUUCCCCCCGAGCAAUGAUUUCAGAAUCCGCCUUGUUUUAAGGCUGGCAUUUGCUGCAGCUGCAGACCUGGAGUAUUUUCGAUCCCCUCUGAGUGCUGGAACACUAUCCAACAAUUAAACCACAACCCAAAAACAAUCAAACAUCUGUUUGGAGGAAGGCUGCUCAGUGACUGACAUUCUCAUGCCAGCAUAAACACGAAAGCUGCUGAGUGAUUCCUGUCUUUUGUGUAUAUAUGUAUACGUAUGCACCGCUUGUGUAUUUUUUGUUCCUGCAUGCAGAAUAUGUAAAUAUGCUUAAGAGCAUUUUUAUUGCAAUAUGUGGGUGUACUUGUAUAGCUUAUUUGUGGAAGUAUUUUCAUUGGCGUGAACACACAGAUUUGAAUGUCAGCUUGAGAUGUGGUUAUUUGUGUGCUGGAGGUGGUUUUGCAGGAGGCCAAAGCGAACGUGGAUUGGGAGUCUGCAAGCAGGUAUGUGUUUAUGCAGUGCUGCAUGUGUUGGUGUACGUUCAUUUACAGGUAUCAGCUUGAUUUCAUAUGGGCAAAAAUAGCAUUACGGCUGCAUGUAGUUUUGUGGAGAGGCAAGGAUUCUGAAGUGUUUGCAUGUGUGUGUGCACGUGGAACUGACUGCAGCAAGGUGUCUGUGCUUUCUGAUGGACAACUGUCCUAUGCCUGACCUCCACACUCUGCCUUUGAACUAAUCAGAUACUUGGGCUAUAGCAGCCGAUGUCCCUUAUUUUAAGCACCAAAAAGGGACAGACUGCUGGAAGCAGUUCAGAAUUGCGUUCAAAACAGCAGUGAGGUCUGGUCCUGAUGAAAUCCCAGCCUCCUAAAAGUACUGAUUUCAAGAACUCCCAUGGGAACACAACAGGGUAUUGAAGGAUGACUUGUUUCAAGGGCUUUGGAAACAGGAAUGAAUGCUGACAUUAGUUCUCUCUGUCUAGAGAGCAAAUUGCUCUCCUUCCUAAAAGCACUUUUCAGACUCCAUGCAGGUAACUCUUUUUGUCCUAUUUUAUUUAUAGAUUUCAAAUAAUGACGGCCUGGGUAAAGCAGUAUGCAAAUGACAUUCAUUCCCAACAGGAACUCCCUCUGUGUAAAACCAAGACCAGCUUUCAGAAAAUACAACUGUUCCCAAUCCAAGCCAAAUGACAGCUUGUGCUGCUCCCACCGGUUAUCCCCGAACCCCCAAGGUCCACAGACUGCUGCUUGCCAUUUGUGGUGUCUUUAUAUACCUAGAAAUAUGUGAGUCACCACAGCAGGUGCUAGCCAUAACCUGCUUGCCUGAAAACAUCAGUAUCAGAAGUGACAGAAUCUGGGCCACCCACUGGCUGUAUUUCUGGAGCAUCCCUCUGUCUAGGAGGGAGCAGCUGGAGAUCUUUGCUUUAGAGCAUUUAUCAAAUAUCCUGUUGCUGGAGUAUAAGAACACGCCAUCACAGGAAAGACAGACUUGAUGAUCUUCCCACUGUGAGCCCCACAGCUUAACUUAUUGUUGUAGGCUCCUAAUCUUUUGCACCAGCCCUAUUUUUCUUUUCAGCAGUUUAAGCUGAAAAAGUUUACUAGAUAAUAGAUUUGCCUCAGAAAUCACAGGAGGUUCUAUUCCUUAGCAGUUAAGCCAGAGUAAGGCAUGGAGUGCAGUAGAGGAGCACAGAGAAAUGGUAUUCUCCUGCCAUGCCCCCUGCCCAGGUACGCUUCCAUUUGAACUCUUGCAAACACCAGACUACAGCAUUGGUUAGGAUGCUUUAGCAGAUCUGGCGCUGAUGACACGAGACACAGGCAGGCUGAGCCCUUCCCCCUGCCCUCAUGCUGGCCAUUUCAGUGCUAUUCCAGGACGAGCUCCUGGAACUCAGCAAUGCAAAGAUGACAUAAGUGCAAUGUUCAGAGGUUAAAGCUUCCAUCCAUUUCUGAUACUCCUCACAAUACUCAUUUCUUACUUCAUCACAAAUUUUUGUCCUCUUUUUGCACACAGAAGCCAUACAUCCUGACUACAAGAAUCAGCACAAAGAAAACGUGAUGGAUGAUGCUCAUGUGUUUAUACUACACAGCUAUUCUGCUGCAUGGCUUCUCAGAAGCCAUGUCAGUAGCUUGCAUGGUCUGUGUGCUACUGAGUGACCAGAUAAUGACUCUUAACCCUACGUAACAUAUAUAGGAAAUACUUUUAAUAGUGGUUUAGUAAUGAUUGGGUUAGAAGGUGGUCCACUGGAAACGGCAGGCAGUGAGAAAUUUUUCUGAGAGGUUAAGAAGUCAUAGGAUCCACUUAACGCAUAUCAGUUACAUCCCUGACUUCCUAAAGCAUAGCCUAGGAAUAGCUAAGCUCCUCUUUUAACGCUGUAUGUGUGGCAGAACUGGUUCUACAAAAAGUGUAGGAUAAAGAAUGAACUACUGCUGAGUUUAUUCAGGGCCUAUUCAAUUUACACAUGUUGGCAUGCUGUCUUGUAUUUGUUGUUGUGGUUUAUGCAUUUUUCAUUAAAGGAGGAUCCUAGGUGCCAAAAUGUUAACCAUCACUGCUGCUAAUAUUAUUUAGAUUUGCCCUGGGUUCAUAUUAGAAAACAUGCAGAAAAUUUACAAGUACAGAAAGUCUUCUCAUUCAUGGAUUUCUUCCAGCUCUGCUCAUCCCUUUUGUGCUUUCCAAUCCUGUACUAAUUUAUAAGCACUGAUGGAAAUCAAAUCCUUCCUGGUUCCUGCUCCUUCAGUACCACUAACUAUGGCCCUGUUAAUCCGUCCUCCAAUGCUUGUAGCAUAUGAAUAUCUCGGAAUCACUGCUGCUUUGCAGGCUUCUAUGCUAAAUUAAAACACAGCAAAUACGACAUGCGGUCUCUCCGAUUCCAUACAAAGACCCUACAGUAACUCAGGAACAGCCACCACCUGACUCCAGUACUUCAGCUGCCAUGUCAUCAUUAACCUGAACCCGUUUUUAUCCACAGAUUCAAUUGAAACCAGCUACUCAUCAUGAUUUAUGAGAGUCUUUGGGACAGGAGCUGAUCACAUGUAAGCAAGUCUUCAUCUCUAAGAAGCACUCUGAGUUUCUAUUCUGACAAUCUUUGAAUUCUCUUCUUAGGAGUUGGAAAACAUCACUUAGUAGAACUGGGAGGAGGUGUUACAUUCUUAAGCCACAUGUUACACAAGAUAUGUCUGCAAGCAAACCGACAACAGAAGGACUGCUCUUUAUUGUACAAUGCCAUGUUCACUCCUGGCUUUUUCCAACACAGGACCCCUCUACAGGGCAUAACGCAAUGAUUAUGACAAAGGCACUUAAUCAACAUUAGCAGCUGCUCAAUUUCUAACUCUUGUUUUCCCACAAACUCCAUCUCCAGGAAAAUACAGAGUGCAACUCAAGGAAGCUCUCAGCUGUCCUCCACUUCGUGCAUUUCCAAAGCAGAUGUAAAACAACUUCUGGUCUCUCUUAUGUUCCUAUCUUGUUGAUCUGUGAUUUAUGACUGUAAGACCUUGGAACUUUGAACUGUUCAAUUCAAAUGCAUUCUUUUUUCGUUGUAGGAGUUUUAAGUAAUAUCUGAAGCUCUUAAUUUGUGGAUUAGCACAUUUACCUACACCACAAUUAGUCCAACUCUGAGAAAGCCCAAGACUAACUUUUGGUUCAUUACUCUGUCAAUCAAUAAGCAUCACAUGUGCUACCAGCCAUUCACCUAUAGGAAUGCUCCAGUUUGUUUCUACAUUCCCAGUCACCACUGAUUCAUCUGUCCAAGUCAUAUAACUGUUUUCUUUCUUGGUCAGUAAACUAGAUCAAAGCCUUGAUAUUUUUUAAGAAAAAUCUUGUAUUAAAGAGCAUGUGAGACCCUGAGAAGGUGGAGGCAAACACAUUUGCCACACCAGCGCUCAUCUCAGCUGACAACAGCAGCUUCCUGUGCUCUGUCCUGGGGGGAUAAGGGGCUGUUAAAUCCUCACAUCUGCCACCCCAGUGCACAGCUGUGAGUGGCUCAGGGAGAACCAUCCCUGCUUGCCCAGCUGCCCCCUUCUACUCACUGUCACUCAGCAAGUAACUAUUUCACAGGCCUCACAGAAAACAAUGGGAGCUUUCAGGAAUGAAAUAAAAUCUUUACUCUGAUAGGAAGGCAGCUGUGAGACACAUGAAAGCUUCUGCUUGCUGUCUCUUACUUGUCUCACAAGGUUCAGAUCGAAGGAGUCACAGCAAACCAUCUACAGUGAAACCCUUCACAAAGGUCAGUGCUGGAAAGAGUCUGAACAUGUGGUACCCUGCAGAAAGAUGUGUGGAUAGACAGAUAAACAGCUCACUGACAAGGUAGAUGGAUGCAGAAUGAGGAGGAGCAUACAUGGAAACAGAAUAUAAAAGGAAAAAAGUGAUCAAGAAAGCAAAUUGAUUUUCACUGUUUGUUUUGACAUCCCCAAAGAGGACCCCGUGAUCCUGAGGAAAUCCUGAGGAAUCAUUGCUCUCACUGCUGAUAUUCAGCCACCUUUGGGGCAGAAGGCUGCAGCCUUUAACAGCACUCACUUAUCCUAUAAACCAGUUUAUCACAAACUCACCUCAUAUUAAGGUGCUUUAUAACCCUGGGGGAAAAGUAUCACCUGUUAAAGAGCAAUUACCUCUGCAUUUCCCUUUAGGGCUAUUUUCUCAUCUAAGAACUGAUGAGGUCCAACGCUACUUCAGCUUGCUAAUUAUUCUAACUUCAGGACGUUAGUGCUGCUGAUUAGGAAGUGCGCUGCACCCAGAACAUAGAUGAAUUUAUUUCCUACGGGUAUGCAAUGCUGCACACUUGCAGUGUACUCAUACAGCACUGAGAAGUUAGGAAAAUUAACCCAUGUGGUAAUGUGCCCAGAUGCCUUCCAAUAGCUAGGAGGUCAUAUUUAAACGUUUAUUCCACCCGAUGACAAAUCUGAAUUCACAUCCUUAUACUGUCCUUCUGUCUCCUACCACCUCACUUCCCAGCUCCUGUACUCUCCCUGAGGCACUUCUCUAUCUUUUCCCCUCCUUCCUCUCUUGCUCACACUGGACUAUAAAUAAGUCUGCUUAACACAAACAUGCUUGCUCUGAGUAGUUACUUAUAUGAAAAAUAAUACAUGUUUGUAAGCUUCUUUGUCUUUCCCUUCUUCUACAUUUCAGUUUUGAUUUUCUCUUAUGUUUUGAACAGAUUCCUAUUUUCUACGCUUGAAUAACACUCCUGAAAAUGCUUCUUGUUGGUGUAAAUUUGACCUGUGCUGGUACAGCACGAAUCCUUGCAUUUCCCCUGGUGUUACAUUGCAGGUAGGGAAUAAGGUUUUACUGCUGAUAAUACAGAGGAGUUCUUUAUCUUACAAGGUAAGGAUUCAGGCUUUCAGCUCGGAAGCUCAAGAGCUCAAUGCCAUUGAUGACCCAGGGGAGGAGCUGUGAUACAGGAUCCCAUCACUGAUUUCCACGCUGCCAUCUCAUCAUCAAGUAGUCGAAACCCUUAACCCAUGUGAGCACUUCACCAUGCUAGAGAACUCAGCUCCUCACAGAACAGAAAACAAUGACCACUUGUUAAGCAUUUGUUUGAAAGAGGAAGAAAAAGAGUAUUACAAUGAGUGAUUUCAAUCUCUGUGCUGUCAGCUGAAGGUUCCAUGCUGCCAGAAACAAACAAAUGUAUUCCCUGUUUACAAAUGAUACCAAACAUUUUUAACCUCAAA